rnacentral:tRNA from 1 species
GCGCCCGUAGCUCAGUUGGAUAGAGUACCUGGCUACGAACCAGGCGGUCGGGAGUUCGAAUCU